rnacentral:lncRNA from 1 species
CCUCAACCUCCUCUGCUCCCUCCUGCUCCUUUGCCCAGGCCCCUCUCGGCCUCUGCUCAAUGGAGUGGCCGACGAGCGAGGAUUGAUGCCCGCUACUGAAUUCCCUGAAUUCCUUCUCGUUCCUCUAUUUUUCCCCCGAUCAAUUGACGCCCUAAUCUCCCUGAUUUUGAGCCUGUGUUGUUGGAUCGCAGGUCCUGGUCGCAGCCGUGCAGCUAGACGGCGCACACCGGAGCUCGGGGUACGCAGCCGCGGCGGAGCUGCUCCGGCGUAGACCCGCGGCCUGGUGCUCUACUGCCACUCCUGCGCUUUCCCCAUUACUCCCGUUCCCCAAGUCGAACUGGUACUACUGAACUGCACCCAUCUGGCCGAUCUAGUUCAGACAUCAGAGUUAGACAUUUUCCACUGUGGUGCGGUUUUCUACAGUGCUGGAUUUGCUUGUGCACCUUGGGCCCUUGUGGUUAAAUUUUUUCCCAGAACACAUGCUGUCAAGAUUAAUAGUCAGUGCACCCUAAACCAUCAUCUCUAAAAAAAAUCUUUUAGACCUAUGUAGUUACUUCUCCCUGUCUCCAGAAUGACCGCAGGAUCAAAUGAUUCACAUGGUGACUGCUACAACUUGACGAGAAGUUAAGGCCUGCCGUGAGGGCGUGUAACUGCUAGUAGUGUUCAGAUUUGCUUCACAUCAGACCUUCAGCAAACUCCAAACAUAAUGCAGAAGUUCAGCUACAAUAUUGUACAGAGUUGUGGAGCUUAGCCCUUCAGAGGUCGUGAGAUAUCGAAGUACAUCUCAGCACAUAAGAAAUAGGAGUAAUAUUUAUGACCAGCAGUCCAGCAUCAAGCAAACUCAAAAGUACCACACUCCAAGACAGGAUAACAAAACAUAACCACAUAGAACAAGAUUCAAACUUAGACACACGUGUCUCAGCACAGCAGUGGGGCCGUCAAGAGUGGAAGAGCGAUGCAUGCUACAGUCGAGGUAGAAAGGAGCCAAGGGGUCCGCACCAGCCACAGCGCGGAGAGAGUUCAAGUGUAAGUGAACUUGAGGCAGUCCAACACUCGACUCCUGAAGGCAGUGGAGACGAGGUCACUGGAUCUUGAGACUGUUGGAAAACGAAGCUUCAUUCUCCCAGCCUGCAUCCGAAUUAAAUUACUCAAGGAUACAAUGAAAUGAAUGACCAAAAUAUCAUAAAUUAAUGUUUACAAAAGGUUUUCUGUGAGAGUGAUGUAUGCCAUUUACCUUUGCAUUUAUUUAUAGCUGUGAAUCUGAAAUCACAGUUCAUUCGAUUUCCUUGCAGCGGAUACUCGCAAUCUUUGGCCAGCUUUCUCCAUCGGGUGUUUGGCAGCUCUCCUUCAAGCGCUCACAACGCCG